rnacentral:rRNA from 1 species
GCAAGUCGAACGAGAAAGGGAUUGCUUGCAAUCCUGAGUAGAGUGGCGCACGGGUGAGUAACACGUAGAUAAUCUACCUUCGAGACAGGAAUAACUAUUCGAAAGGAUAGCUAAUACCUGAUAAAGUAAGUUGUCAAAAGACAAGCUAUGAAAGACUGCCUCUUCAUGAAAGCAGUUGCUCGGAGAUGAGUUUGCGGACCAUUAGUUAGUUGGUGGGGUAAAGGCCUACCAAGACUGCGAUGGUUAGCUGGUCUGAGAGGAUGAUC